rnacentral:rRNA from 1 species
UUGCAUGUCUAGCAUGCGAGUCAUUGUAGCAUACAAGGCAUACGGCUCAGUAACGCGUAGUCAACCUAACCUAUGGACGGGAAUAACCUCGGGAAACUGAGAAUAAUGCCCGAUAGAACACUAUACCUGGAAUGGUUUGUGUUCCAAAUGAUUUAUCGCCAUAGGAUGGGACUGCGGCCUAUCAGUUUGUUGGUGAGGUAAUGGCCCACCAAGACUAUUACAGGUACGGGCUCUGAGAGGAGUAGCCCGGAGGUGGGUACUGAGACACGGACCCAGGCCCUAUGGGGCGCAGCAGGCGAGAAAACUUUGCAAUGUGCGAAAGCACGACAAGGUUAAUCCGAGUGAUUUGUGCUAAACGAAUCUUUUGUUAGUCCUAGAAACACUAACGAAUAAGGGGUGGGCAAGUUCUGGUGUCAGCCGCCGCGGUAAAACCAGCACCUCAAGUGGUCAGGAUGAUUAUUGGGCCUAAAGCAUCCGUAGCCGGCUCUGUAAGUUUUCGGUUAAAUCUGUACGCUUAACGUACAGGCUGCCGGGAAUACUGCAGAGCUAGGGAGUGGGAGAGGUAGACGGUACUCGGUAGGAAGUGGUAAAAUGCUUUGAUCUAUCGAUGACCACCUGUGGCGAAAGGCGGUCUACCAGAACACGUCCGACGGUGAGGGAUGAAGCUGGGGGAGCAACCCGGAUUAGAUACCCAGUAGUUCCAGCCUGUAAACCUAUGCCAACUUCAGUGAUGCAUUGGCUUUGUGGACCAUGCAGUUGCCUGGCCAGGGUAGU